AUGGCGCGGGCGAAGCCGUCGUCGGCGGCGGCGAAGAAGAGCCAGGCGGCGCAGCAGGGCGGCGGGGCCGGGCACGCGGCGCCGUCCGGGCUCGCGCGGUACCUCGACCCGGAGGCGCCGUGGGACAAGGACCGGCUGCUGGACGCCGUGCACUGGAUCCGCCAGGCGGUGGGCCUCGCCUGCGGCCUUCUCUGGGGCGCCGUCCCGCUCGUCGGCGCCACCUGGAUCGUCCUGUUCGUGGCCAUUUCUUCUGGCAUAAUUUACUGGUACUAUGCGCACCUAUUGAAGGUCGACGAGGAAGAAUUUGGAGGCCAUGGCGCGCUGCUUCAGGAGGGGAUGUUUGCAUCUUUCACCCUUUUCCUGCUUUCAUGGAUUCUUGUGUACAGUUUGGCUCACUUUUGA
rnacentral:rRNA from 1 species